UAGUAGCGUUAGGGAUAGCAGUGAAAAUCCUUUUUUGAUAAAAAAAAGAUUGAAACGAAUAGCCCGACCCAAA
rnacentral:sRNA from 1 species